rnacentral:rRNA from 1 species
UUACAGAGUUAUACAACUCCCAUACCAUCUGUUAACCUACCCAGUUAUGCCUCGGCGUAAGCUCGGUUGGAGGCACCUGCAGCUACCCUGUAGUUGCGGACUGCCAACUCCAGCCGCGGCCCGCCGGCGGUACACUAAACUCUGUUUUAUUUUAUAUUCUGAGCGUCUUAUUUUAAUAAGUUAAAACUUUCAACAACGGAUCUCUUGGUUCUGGCAUCGAUGAAGAACGCAGCGAAAUGCGAUAAGUAAUGUGAAUUGCAGAAUUCAGUGAAUCAUCGAAUCUUUGAACGCACAUUGCGCCCAUCAGUAUUCUGGUGGGCAUGCCUGUUCGAGCGUCAUUUCAACCCUUAAGCCUAGCUUAGUGUUGGGAAUCUGCUGUACUGCAGUUCCUUAAAGACAGUGGCGGAGCGGCGGUAGUCCUCUGAGCGUAGUAAUUUAUUUCUCGCUUUUGUCAGGCUCUGUCCUCCCGCCAUAAAACCCCCAAUUUUUUAGUGGUUGACCUCGGAUCAGGUAGGAAUACCCGCUGAACUUAAGCAUAUCAAUAAGCGGAGGAAAAGAAACCAACAGGGAUUCCCCUAGUAACGGCGAGUGAAGCGGGAACAGCUCAAAUUUGAAAUCUGGCCCUUGGGUCCGAGUUGUAAUUUGCAGAGGAUGCUUUUGGUGCGGUGCCUUCCGAGUUCCCUGGAACGGGACGCCUUAGAGGGUGAGAGCCCCGUACGGUUGGCC